rnacentral:rRNA from 1 species
GACGAACGCUGGCGGCGUGCCUAAUACAUGCAAGUUGAGCGCUGAAGGUUGGUACUUGUACCGACUGGAUGAGCAGCGAACGGGUGAGUAACGCGUGGGGAACCUGCCUUUGAGCGGGGGACAACAUUUGGAAACGAAUGCUAAUACCGCAUAAAAACUUUAAACACAAGUUUUAAGUUUGAAAGAUGCAAUUGCAUCACUCAAAGAUGAUCCCGCGUUGUAUUAGCUAGUUGGUGAGGUAAAGGCUCACCAAGGCGAUGAUACAUAGCCGACCUGAGAGGGUGAUCGGCCACAUUGGGACUGAGACACGGCCCAAACUCCUACGGGAGGCAGCAGUAGGGAAUCUUCGGCAAUGGACGAAAGUCUGACCGAGCAACGCCGCGUGAGUGAAGAAGGGUUUCGGAUCGUAAAACUCUGUUGGUAGAGAAGAACGUUGGUGAGAGUGGAAAGCUCAUCAAGUGACGGUAACUACCCAGAAAGGGACGGCUAACUACGUG